GACGAGCGCUGGCGGCGUGCUUAACACAUGCAAGUCGAACGGAAAGGCCCUGCUCUUGUGGGGUGCUCGAGUGGCGAACGGGUGAGUAACACGUGAGUAACCUGCCCUUGUCUUUGGGAUAACUUCAGGAAACUGGGGCUAAUACCGGAUAGGAGCUCCUGCUGCAUGGUGGGGGUUGGAAAGUUUCGGCGGUUGGGGAUGGACUCGCGGGUUAUCAGCUUGUUUGUGGGGUAGUGGCUGACCAAGGCUUUGACGGGUAGCCGGCCUGAGAGGGUGACCGGCCACAUGAGGACUGCGGUACGGAGCAGACUGCAACGGGAGGCAGCAGUGGGGAACAUUGCACAAUGGGCGGGAGCCUGAUACAGCAACGCCGCGUGCGGGAUGACGGCCUUCGGGUUGUAAACCGCUUUCGCCUGUGACGAAGCGUGAGUGACGGUAAUGGGUAAAGAAGCACCGGCUAACUACGUG
rnacentral:rRNA from 1 species